CCCGUCGAUGCCUGGUGAUUUAUUUAGUUUCAUAGAUUUAAUAGCUUCUGUACAUUCUUUUAUGGUAAGCUCCCCUUCUAGAUUUUGAGUUUCCUCAUGAGAAAGAGUUUUAUCUACUUUUGUUUCUGUUAUAUAUUUUUUUAUUUCAUUUUCAUUAGGAUUUGUACUUUUAUAUAAAUUUUCAUAAAAGUUUUUUUCUAACUUUAAAAUUUCAGAUGAAUCUGUUAUAAUUUCUCCUUUU
rnacentral:lncRNA from 1 species